UAAAUAUUUGACGCUGUCAUGUUUUUCGAAUAGUAAAAUAAACAUGUCAAGAGAAAAAAUAGUGAUCUUAUUUAUAGAAAGCUACUAAAGUAUGAAUAAAUACCUACGCAAGAGUAACAUAACAACAUAAAAUGUACUAAUUAAGGUUCAAUGGACUGGCACUGGUUUCACCAAGAACGAUGAGCGAGAAGCGAUUGGAGCUACAAAAUAAGAAAUGAGUUGGCGCGCGAGCAGCGAGAAGCGAGUAUAGUUCUGUUGCAACCGGAAAGCGAUGAUCACACGGCAAAUCAAAUCCUGAAGACUAUAGCAGCCACGUCAAAGAAAGAUAUACCUAUCUACCUACCUACCUACCUACCUAUUAAAAAAAAUGUUUAUUCUUUCUCGUUUGAUAUGGAGUGCGCAAAAGAAUUGCACGACCUGAUCCCAGCUUUCCCUUUCCGGAAGUCCAGGCGCGAGGAGCGAAUGCACCCGUUCGUUGUUAAUAUUCCAUUUGUCCGCACAAAACGAUUUGCCUCAUCUUUUUUGGUAAGGACGAUUAAGGAAUGGAAUGCGCUUCCGUCAUCUGUGUUUCCUGGGAAAUUUGACCUCGGUCUCUUUAAAGCAAGAGUGAAUAGGCUAUUACUUACUGAGCCGGUAAGCUCCAUCAUCUUAGGCUCUGUUUUCACUUUCCAUCAGGUGUGACUAGAGCCAAUGCCCGUUCAGUUUAUUAUAAAAAAUAUAUAUACAAAGAG